rnacentral:misc_RNA from 1 species
AAAGUCGUAACAAGGUCUCCGUAGGUGAACCUGCGGAGGGAUCAUCAUAGAAAACAACUUUCUAUAUAAGUUGCGAGGGGGAUAUUGAGGUUUGAAUGAUGAGAGGAAAGCAUACUCUGCAUUUCUUUUGUUGUUUUUACCUUGGUAUUUCUUUUGCUUCUUCAAACAAACGAUCGCAACUAAUAUCAAAAGUUUGGUUUGGGUGGAGAAAAAGAUUAGCAGCAAUGCUUUUCUUUUCUCGCUUGAUAAAAAAAGUGUUUGCCUGAUAUUCAAUGCCAUUGAUUUGGUUGGAAAACAGUUAUAUACAACUUUCAACAACGGAUCUCUUGGCUCUC